CACACCCCUCACACCUUUGUGUGAGCUCCUCUGCUGCCCAAACGGGAAGGAAAAAAAAAAGAUAAUAUACAAAAGACCAAAUUUAAAACCC